GGCGAUAUGGCCGAGCGGUCUAAGGCGCUAGAAUCAGGUUUAUUCCACACUUCUGGGUGUGGGAUCUGAACAUCUAGUCAGAAAUGGCGUGGGUUCGAAUCCCACUGUCGUCA